rnacentral:rRNA from 1 species
ACAUGCAAGUCGAACGGACCAUUAAUUUAUUAGUGGUUAGUGGCGAAAGGGUGCGGAGUGAAUAGGUAACGUACCCCGAACUCCGGGAUAGCGUCUAGAAACUUCGGUUUCUUUCCGAAAGGGGCGGUAAUACCGGAUAAUAUCAUAUACUUCGAGGUAUAUGAUCAAAGAUUUAUCGGUUUGGGAGCGGCCUAUUUCCUAUCAGCUUGUUGGUGAGGUAACGGCUCACCAAGGCAGCGACGGGUAGCGGGACUGAGAGGUUGACCCGCCACAUCGGGACUGAGACACUGCCCGGACCUCCACGGAGGGCUGCAGUAACGAAUAUUGUGCAAUGGACGAAAGUCUGACACAGCAACGCCGCGUGUAGGAGGAAGCCCUUCGGGGUGUAAACUACUGUCAGGGGUCAGAAAGUAUGUUUAGGCAUAUUGAUCAGCCCCAGAGGAAGUCACGGCUAACUUCGUGCCAGCAGCCGCGGUAAUACGAAGGUGGCAAGCGUUGUUCGGAAUCACUGGGCUUAAAGCGCGCGCAGGCGGAAAUGUAAGUGUUUUGUGAAAGCCCCCGGCUUAACCGGGGAAUUGCUCAGCAUACUGCAUUUCUUGAGACAAGUAGGGGUACAUGGAACUCUUGGUGGAGCGGUGGAAUGCGUAGAUAUCAAGAGGAACGCCAAUGGUGAAGACAGUGUACUGGGCUUGUUCUGACGCUGA